rnacentral:rRNA from 1 species
ACGCUAGCUACAGGCUUAACACAUGCAAGUCGAGGGGCAGCAUGGAAGAAGCUUGCUUCUUCUGAUGGCGACCGGCGCACGGGUGCGUAACGCGUAUCAAACCUGCCUCAUACUCGGGGAUAGCCUUGCGAAAGUAAGAUUAAUACCCGAUGUUGUUAUGUUGCCGCAUGGUGAUAUAACCAAAGAUUUAUCGGUAUGAGAUGGUGAUGCGUCCGAUUAGGUAGUAGGCGGGGUAACGGCCCACCUAGCCUUCGAUCGGUAGGGGUUCUGAGAGGAAGGUCCCCCACACUGGAACUGAGACACGGUCCAGACUCCUACGGGAGGCAGCAGUGAGGAAUAUUGGUCAAUGGACGGAAGACUGAACCAGCCAAGUAGCGUGCAGGAUGACGGCCCUCCGGGUUGUAAACUGCUUUUAGUUGGGAAUAAAAAAGAGGACGUGUCCUCUAUUGUAUGUACCUUCAGAAAAAGGACCGGCUAAUUCCGUGCCAGCAGCCGCGGUAAUACGGAAGGUCCAGGCGUUAUCCGGAUUUAUUGGGUUUAAAGGGAGCGUAGGCGGAUUAUUAAGUCAGUGGUGAAAGACGGUGGCUCAACCAUCGUUAGCCAUUGAAACUGGUAGUCUUGAGUGCAGACAGGGAUGCUGGAACUCGUGGUGUAGCGGUGAAAUGCUUAGAUAUCACGAUGAACUCCGAUCGCGAAGGCAGGUGUCCGGGCUGCAACUGACGCUGAGGCUCGAAAGUGUGGGUAUCAAACAGGAUUAGAUACCCUGGUAGUCCACACAGUAAACGAUGUAUACUCGCGGUUUGCGAUACAAUGUAAGCCGCCAAGCGAAAGCAUUAAGUAUACCACCUGGGGAGUACGCCGGCAACGGUGAAACUCAAAGGAAUUGACGGGGGCCCGCACAAGCGGAGGAACAUGUGGUUU